AUGAGAUUUAGCACCGGCUGCUGCUACUUGGAGCCAGCCAUGGCCACUCACCGAAUCCCCUCGCCUCUCCCAUCCUUGUUGUUUUUGCCGCAAAAAAGAGUGAGAGGAGUUCCCAUGGCGGCUGCACCACGUCGACAGUGGGCUGCAUCGACGGGAUUCAACGGCGAUUGCAUCGAGCAGCUCCUGCGGUGCUACACCCAGCGGUUAGAAAUGUUUCCAGAUGCUGGAACCAUGGCGGCAAAUCCCAACGGGCCCUUGCCGCCGGCGACAACUUUAUUUUUGUUGGAACCACUGUGUGUUUUUGCUGGAACUAGCUAUUUUUUUGCUACAAUCGUCACUGGGAGCUUUUUCCUGCUAACUUUGUUUUUGCUGAAAUCGGCUUUUGUUUUUGCUGGAACCUAG
rnacentral:rRNA from 1 species